UACGGAGAGUGCAAACGUUGUUCGGAUUCACUGGGCGUAAAGGGCACGUAGGCGGCUCGGCAAAUCGGUCGUGGAAUCCCGACGCUUACCGUCGGAACGGCGGCCGAAAAUACCGGGCUCGAGGGCGUGAGGGGUCACUGGAACUCCUGGUGAAGCGGUGAAAUGCGUAGAUAUCAGGAGGAACGCCGGAGGCGAAAGCGAGUGACUGGCGCGUUCCUGACGCUGAGGUGCGAAAGCUAGGGGAGCGAACAGG
rnacentral:rRNA from 1 species